GGGUGAAUUGCAGGGCAAAUCUCCCUUGGCAGUGAGCUAAAUAAAACAGCGAAUCCCUAUAUAGCAGUCAAGUAGCCUACUGCCAGUGGAGUAAUUGCCCAGUAAUGCAUCC
rnacentral:pre_miRNA from 1 species